rnacentral:misc_RNA from 1 species
UUUCCGUAGGUGAACCUGCGGAAGGAUCAUUACCGAGAUAGGGUCUUCGGGCCCGACCUCCCAACCCUUUGUCUACCACACCAUGUUUGUUGCUUCGGCGGACCGGUCUCAGAACGUGCCUCCCUCGCGGGGGGCAGGGGAGAGACCGCCGGGACCUUUACCGGUCCGGGAGCGUCGUCCGUCGAUGGCCCAACCACAUAAACUCUUGAUGUAACCAUGUCGUCUAAAUGUUAUUUUGUAUAAUUACAAGUAAAAAACUUUCAACAACGGAUCUCUUGGUUCUGGCAUCGAUGAAGAACGCAGC